GCGUAUGCAACCUACCUUUAUCAGGGGGAUAGCCCGGAGAAAUCCGGAUUAACACCGCAUAAAAUCACAGGAUAGCAUUAUCUAAUGAUCAAAUAUUUAUAGGAUAAAGAUGGGCAUGCGUGUCAUUAGCUAGUUGGCGGGGUAACGGCCCACCAAGGCGACGAUGACUAGGGGAUCUGAGAGGAUGGCCCCCCACACUGGUACUGAGACACGGACCAGACUCCUACGGGAGGCAGCAGUAAGGAAUAUUGGUCAAUGGAGGCAACUCUGAACCAGCCAUGCCGCGUGCAGGAAGACUGCCCUAUGGGUUGUAAACUGCUUUUAUCCGGGAAUAAACCUACUUACGUGUAAGUAGCUGAAUGUACCGGAAGAAUAAGGAUCGGCUAACUCCGUGCCAGCAGCCGCGGUAAUACGGAGGAUCCAAGCGUUAUCCGGAUUUAUUGGGUUUAAAGGGUGCGUAGGCGGCCUGUUAAGUCAGGGGUGAAAGACGGUAGCUCAACUAUCGCAGUGCCCUUGAUACUGAUGGGCUUGAAUGGACUAGAGGUAGGCGGAAUGAGACAAGUAGCGGUGAAAUGCAUAGAUAUGUCUCAGAACACCGAUUGCGAAGGCAGCUUACUAUGGU
rnacentral:rRNA from 1 species